UGUGAAGCUUUAAGAACACUUUGCUUGGCCUUCAAGGAUAUGGAUGAAGCUUAUAAUGGAGAUGAUAUUCCUUCUGAUGGUUACACAUUGAUAGCUGUUUUUGGUAUCAAGGAUCCAGUGCGUCCUGGGGUUAAGGAAGCAGUUCAAACAUGUAUAACUGCCGGUAUUAAAGUGCGGAUGGUUACAGGAGAUAAUAUAAAUACAGCUAAAGCCAUAGCCAGGGAGUGUGGGA
rnacentral:misc_RNA from 1 species